rnacentral:rRNA from 1 species
CAGCAGCCGCGGUAAUACAGAGGGUGCGAGCGUUAAUCGGAUUUACUGGGCGUAAAGCGUGCGUAGGCGGCUUCUUAAGUCGGAUGUGAAAUCCCUGAGCUUAACUUAGGAAUUGCAUUCGAUACUGGGAAGCUAGAGUAUGAGAGAGGAUGGUAGAAUUCCAGGUGUAGCGGUGAAAUGCGUAGAGAUCUGGAGGAAUACCGAUGGCGAAGGCAGCCAUCUGGCCUAAUACUGACGCUGAGGUACGAAAGCAUGGGGAGCAAACAGGAUUAGAUACCCGCGUAGUCCCUGUCUCUUAUAC